rnacentral:rRNA from 1 species
AAUAGAUACCCCGGUAGUCCACGCCGUAAACGAUGGAUACUAGCUGUUGGAGGUAUCGACCCCUUCAGUAGCGAAGCUAACGCGUUAAGUAUCCCGCCUGUGGAGUACGGUCGCAAGACUAAAACAUAAAGGAAUUGACGGGGACCCGCACAAGCGGUGGAUCGUGUUCUUUAAUUCGAUGCUAAACGAAGAACCUUACCAGGGUUUGACAUCCCUUGAAUUAAUCCGAAAGGAUUGAGUGCUUUAUUGAACAAGGUGACAGGUGAUGCAUGGCCGUCGUCAGCUCGUGUCGUGAGAUGUUUGGUUAAGUCCAUCAACGAGCGCAACCCUUGCAAGUAGUUGUAUUUUUCUACUUGGACUGCCCCGGUAACGGGAGGAAGGAGGGGAUGAUGUCAGGUCAGUAUUCCCUUAGAUCCUGGGCUAGAAACACGAUACAAUGGCUAGUACAAUGCGCAGCGAAGCCGCGAGGUGAAGCAAAUCGCAUCAAAGCUAGUCCCAGUUCGGAUUGGAGCUGAACUCGCUCAUGAAUCGG